AUUUGACUCAACACGGGGAAACUCACCAGGUCCAGACACAAUAAGGAUUGACAGAUUGAGAGCUCUUUCUUGAUUUUGUGGGUGGUGGUGCAUGGCCGUUCUUAGUUGGUGGAGUGAUUUGUCUGCUUAAUUGCGAUAACGAACGAGACCUUAACCUGCUAAAUAGCCCGGCCCGCUUUGGCGGGUCGCCGGCUUCUUAGAGGGACUAUCGGCUCAAGCCGAUGGAAGUUUGAGGCAAUAACAGGUCUGUGAUGCCCUUAGAUGUUCUGGGCCGCACGCGCGCUACACUGACAGAGCCAACGAGUUCAUUUCCUUGCCCGGAAGGGUUGGGUAAUCUUGUUAAACUCUGUCGUGCUGGGGAUAGAGCAUUGAUAUUAUUGCUGUUCAACGAGGAUGCCUAGUAAGCGUACGUCAUCAGCGUGCUAGAUACGUGCCUGCCCUUGUACUCACCGUCA
rnacentral:rRNA from 1 species